rnacentral:rRNA from 1 species
UACGGAGGGUGCAAGCGUUGUCCGGAAUUAUUGGGUGUAAAGGGUGUGUAGGCGGACUUGUAAGUCAGAGGUGAAAGCCCACGGCUUAACCGUGGAAUUGCCCCUGAUACUGCAAGUCUUGAGUCCUGGAGAGGCCGCUGGAAUUCGUGGUGUAGCGGUGAAAUGCGUAGAUAUCACGAGGAACACCAGAGGUGUAGACGGGUGACUGGACAGGAACUGACGCUGAGGCACGAAAGCGUGGGGAGCAAACAGGAUUAGAUACCCUGGUAGUCCACGCCGUAAACGAUGGAUGCUCGGUGGCACGCCGCCUUAGGGGCGCUGCCUAAGCUAACGCGUUAAGCAUCCCACCUGGGGAGUACGCUCGCAAGAGUGAA